GUAUUCUGUAAGCGUUGGAUAGAGGCUUAUUUAGAGGGCAAAUCAGAUGACAUGUGUCAUUCACAACUUUAA